rfam:Mustela putorius furo unplaced genomic scaffold scaffold00118, whole genome shotgun sequence.
GUCUGGCUGGCUCAAUCGGAAGAGUAUGUGACUCUCAAUCUCAGGGUCAUGGGCUCAAGCCCCGUGUUGGACA